rnacentral:tRNA from 1 species
GAGGGUAUAGUUCAAGUGGUAGAGUGCAUGCUUAGCAUGCACAAGGUCUUGGGUUCAAUUCCCAGUAACUCCU